rnacentral:rRNA from 1 species
UACGUAGGGGGCAAGCGUUGUCCGGAAUCAUUGGGCGUAAAGCGCGUGUAGGCGGUCCGGUAAGUCCGCUGUGAAAGUCGGGGGCUCAACCCUCGGAUGCCGGUGGAUACUGUCGGGCUUGAGUACGGAAGAGGCGAGUGGAAUUCCUGGUGUAGCGGUGAAAUGCGUAGAUAUCGGGAGGAACACCUGUGGCGAAGGCGGCUUUCUGGGCCUUACCUGACGCUGAGACGCGAAAGCGUGGGGAGCGAACCGG